rnacentral:rRNA from 1 species
GCGACUUAUAUUCUGUAGCAAGGUUAACCGAAUAGGGGAGCCGAAGGGAAACCGAGUCUUAACUGGGCGUUAAGUUGCAGGGUAUAGACCCGAAACCCGGUGAUCUAGCCAUGGGCAGGUUGAAGGUUGGGUAACACUAACUGGAGGACCGAACCGACUAAUGUUGAAAAAUUAGCGGAUGACUUGUGGCUGGGGGUGAAAGGCCAAUCAAACCGGGAGAUAGCUGGUUCUCCCCGAAAGCUAUUUAGGUAGCGCCUCGUGAAUUCAUCUCCGGGGGUAGAGCACUGUUUCGGCAAGGGGGUCAUCCCGACUUACCAACCCGAUGCAAACUGCGAAUACCGGAGAAUGUUAUCACGGGAGACACACGGCGGGUGCUAACGUCCGUCGUGAAGAGGGAAACAACCCAGACCGCCAGCUAAGGUCCCAAAGUCAUGGUUAAGUGGGAAACGAUGUGGGAAGGCCCAGACAGCCAGGAUGUUGGCUUAGAAGCAGCCAUCAUUUAAAGAAAGCGUAAUAGCUCACUGGUCGAGUCGGCCUGCGCGGAAGAUGUAACGGGGCUAAACCAUGCACCGAAGCUGCGGCAGCGACACUAUGUGUUGUUGGGUAGGGGAGCGUUCUGUAAGCCUGUGAAGGUGGCCUGUGAGGGUUGCUGGAGGUAUCAGAAGUGCGAAUGCUGACAUAAGUAACGAUAAAGCGGGUGAAAAGCCCGCUCGCCGGAAGACCAAGGGUUCCUGUCCAACGUUAAUCGGGGCAGGGUGAGUCGACCCCUAAGGCGAGGCCGAAAGGCGUAGUCGAUGGGAAACAGGUUAAUAUUCCUGUACUUGGUGUUACUGCGAAGGGGGGACGGAGAAGGCUAUGUUGGCCGGGCGACGGUUGUCCCGGUUUAAGCGUGUAGGCUGGUUUUCCAGGCAAAUCCGGAAAACCAAGGCUGAGGCGUGAUGACGAGGCACUACGGUGCUGAAGUGACAAAUGCCCUGCUUCCAGGAAAAGCCUCUAAGCAUCAGGUAACAUCAAAUCGUACCCCAAACCGACACAGGUGGUCAGGUAGAGAAUACCAAGGCGCUUGAGAGAACUCGGGUGAAGGAACUAGGCAAAAUGGUGCCGUAACUUCGGGAGAAGGCACGCUGAUAUGUAGGUGAAGCGACUUGCUCGUGGAGCUGAAAUCAGUCGAAGAUACCAGCUGGCUGCAACUGUUUAUUAAAAACACAGCACUGUGCAAACACGAAAGUGGACGUAUACGGUGUGACGCCUGCCCGGUGCCGGAAGGUUAAUUGAUGGGGUUAGCGGUAACGCGAAGCUCUUGAUCGAAGCCCCGGUAAACGGCGGCCGUAACUAUAACGGUCCUAAGGUAGCGAAAUUCCUUGUCGGGUAAGUUCCGACCUGCACGAAUGGCGUAAUGAUGGCCAGGCUGUCUCCACCCGAGACUCAGUGAAAUUGAACUCGCUGUGAAGAUGCAGUGUACCCGCGGCAAGACGGAAAGACCCCGUGAACCUUUACUAUAGCUUGACACUGAACAUUGAGCCUUGAUGUGUAGGAUAGGUGGGAGGCUUUGAAGUGUGGACGCCAGUCUGCAUGGAGCCGACCUUGAAAUACCACCCUUUAAUGUUUGAUGUUCUAACGUUGGCCCGUAAUCCGGGUUGCGGACAGUGUCUGGUGGGUAGUUUGACUGGGGCGGUCUCCUCCUAAAGAGUAACGGAGGAGCACGAAGGUUGGCUAAUCCUGGUCGGACAUCAGGAGGUUAGUGCAAUGGCAUAAGCCAGCUUGACUGCGAGCGUGACGGCGCGAGCAGGUGCGAAAGCAGGUCAUAGUGAUCCGGUGGUUCUGAAUGGAAGGGCCAUCGCUCAACGGAUAAAAGGUACUCCGGGGAUAACAGGCUGAUACCGCCCAAGAGUUCAUAUCGACGGCGGUGUUUGGCACCUCGAUGUCGGCUCAUCACAUCCUGGGGCUGAAGUAGGUCCCAAGGGUAUGGCUGUUCGCCAUUUAAAGUGGUACGCGAGCUGGGUUUAGAACGUCGUGAGACAGUUCGGUCCCUAUCUGCCGUGGGCGCUGGAGAACUGAGGGGGGCUGCUCCUAGUACGAGAGGACCGGAGUGGACGCAUCACUGGUGUUCGGGUUGUCAUGCCAAUGGCACUGCCCGGUAGCUAAAUGCGGAAGAGAUAAGUGCUGAAAGCAUCUAAGCACGAAACUUGCCCCGAGAUGAGUUCUCCCUGACUCCUUGAGAGUCCUGAAGGAACGUUGAAGACGACGACGUUGAUAGGCCGGGUGUGUAAGCGCAGCGAUGCGUUGAGCUAACCGGUACUAAUGAACCGUGAGGCUUAACCUUACAACGCCGAAG